AUAAGCCAUCUAAAUAUUUUUUUCCAGGACUUACUGAUGGAUGGACUUAUUUGGUUGUGUGCGUUGUCCUCUCGUUCACUUAGAUUGUGUUGGAUUGGAUGAAAUACUAGCAUCCUCGGCAUUAAAUGCCUUACAUGUUUUGGUUAACAUUGUAUGGUAUUAAUGUUAUCAAGUUAAAACUAAAGGCCAAAUAGAACCUCGAUCUUAUUCUCAAAAAAUGAGAG
rnacentral:misc_RNA from 1 species